rnacentral:rRNA from 1 species
ACUCCUGCGGGAGGCAGCAGUGGGGAAUUUUGGACAAUGGGCGAAAGCCUGAUCCAGCAAUGCCGCGUGCAGGAUGAAGGCCUUCGGGUUGUAAACUGCUUUUGUACGGAACGAAAAAGCUCCUUCUAAUACAGGGGGCCCAUGACGGUACCGUAAGAAUAAGCACCGGCUAACUACGUGCCAGCAGCCGCGGUAAUACGUAGGGUGCGAGCGUUAAUCGGAAUUACUGGGCGUAAAGCGUGCGCAGGCGGUUAUGUAAGACAGAUGUGAAAUCCCCGGGCUCAACCUGGGAACUGCAUUUGUGACUGCAUGGCUAGAGUACGGUAGAGGGGGAUGGAAUUCCGCGUGUAGCAGUGAAAUGCGUAGAUAUGCGGAGGAACACCGAUGGCGAAGGCAAUCCCCUGGACCUGUACUGACGCUCAUGCACGAAAGCGUGGGGAGCAAACAGGAUUAGAUACCCCGGUAGUCCCAU